GCACCUAAAUUUAUAUCUUAAUCCAACAUCGAGGUCGCAAUCUUUUUUAUCAAUAUGAACUCUCCAAAAAAAUUACGCUGUUAUCCCUAAAGUAACUUAAUUUUAUAAUCAUUAAAAAUGGAUCAAUUAUUCAUAAAUUUAUGAUUUAAAUUUUAAAAGUUUAUUAAAUUUUAAUAUCACCCCAAUAAAAUAAAUUUACAAAUUAUAAUUUAAUUAAUCUUUAAAAUUAAAAUUUAUAAAUUUAUAAAGAUUUAUAGGGUCUUCUCGUCUUUUAAUUUUAUUUUAGCUUUUUGACUAAAAAAUAAAAUUCUAAUAUAAUUUUAAAUGAAACAGUUAAUAUUUCGUCCAACCAUUCAUUCCAGCCUUCAAUUAAAAGACUAAUGAUUAUGCUACCUUUGCACAGUUAGAAUACUGCGGCCAUUAAAAAAUCAUUGGGCAGGUUAGAC
rnacentral:rRNA from 1 species